rnacentral:rRNA from 1 species
AAACUCAAAUGAAUUGACGGGGACCCGCACAAGCAGCGGAGCGUGUGGUUUAAUUCGUUGCUACACGAAGAACCUUACCUGGGUUUGACAUAUAGGUUGUAGGGAACUGAAAAGGGACCGACCUUCGGGAGCCUAUACAGGUGUUGCAUGGCUGUCGUCAGCCCGUGUCGUGAGAUGUUCGGUUAAGUCCGCUAACGAGCGCAACCCUCGUCGUAUGUUAUAUGUGUCAUACGAGACUGCCGGUAAAAGCCGGAGGAAGGUGAGGAUGAUGUCAAGUCAGCAUGACCUUUAUAUCCAGGGCUACACACACACUACAAUGGUCUGUACAAUGGGUAGCCAAGCCGCGAGGCGGAGCCAAUCCUGAAAGCAGGCCUCAGUUCAGAUUGCAGUCUGCAACUCGACUGCAUGAAGCCGGAGUUGCUAGUAACCGCAGGUCAGCAAUACUGCGGUGAAUACGUUCCCGGGCCUU